UUAAAUUGAAGAGUUUGAUCAUGGCUCAGAUUGAACGCUGGCGGCAGGCCUAACACAUGCAAGUCGAACGGUAACAGGAAGCAGCUUGCUGCUUUGCUGACGAGUGGCGGACGGGUGAGUAAUGUCUGGGAAACUGCCUGAUGGAGGGGGAUAACUACUGGAAACGGUAGCUAAUACCGCAUAAUGUCGCAAGACCAAAGAGGGGGACCUUCGGGCCUCUUGCCAUCGGAUGUGCCCAGAUGGGAUUAGCUAGUAGGUGGGGUAACGGCUCACCUAGGCGACGAUCCCUAGCUGGUCUGAGAGGAUGACCAGCCACACUGGAACUGAGACACGGUCCAGACUCCUACGGGAGGCAGCAGUGGGGAAUAUUGCACAAUGGGCGCAAGCCUGAUGCAGCCAUGCCGCGUGUAUGAAGAAGGCCUUCGGGUUGUAAAGUACUUUCAGCGGGGAGGAAGGUGUUGAGGUUAAUAACCUCAGCAAUUGACGUUACCCGCAGAAGAAGCACCGGCUAACUCCGUGCCAGCAGCCGCGGUAAUACGGAGGGUGCAAGCGUUAAUCGGAAUUACUGGGCGUAAAGCGCACGCAGGCGGUCUGUCAAGUCGGAUGUGAAAUCCCCGGGCUCAACCUGGGAACUGCAUUCGAAACUGGCAGGCUAGAGUCUUGUAGAGGGGGGUAGAAUUCCAGGUGUAGCGGUGAAAUGCGUAGAGAUCUGGAGGAAUACCGGUGGCGAAGGCGGCCCCCUGGACAAAGACUGACGCUCAGGUGCGAAAGCGUGGGGAGCAAACAGGAUUAGAUACCCUGGUAGUCCACGCCGUAAACGAUGUCGACUUGGAGGUUGUGCCCUUGAGGCGUGGCUUCCGGAGCUAACGCGUUAAGUCGACCGCCUGGGGAGUACGGCCGCAAGGUUAAAACUCAAAUGAAUUGACGGGGGCCCGCACAAGCGGUGGAGCAUGUGGUUUAAUUCGAUGCAACGCGAAGAACCUUACCUACUCUUGACAUCCAGAGAACUUUCCAGAGAUGGAUUGGUGCCUUCGGGAACUCUGAGACAGGUGCUGCAUGGCUGUCGUCAGCUCGUGUUGUGAAAUGUUGGGUUAAGUCCCGCAACGAGCGCAACCCUUAUCCUUUGUUGCCAGCGGUUAGGCCGGGAACUCAAAGGAGACUGCCAGUGAUAAACUGGAGGAAGGUGGGGAUGACGUCAAGUCAUCAUGGCCCUUACGAGUAGGGCUACACACGUGCUACAAUGGCGCAUACAAAGAGAAGCGACCUCGCGAGAGCAAGCGGACCUCAUAAAGUGCGUCGUAGUCCGGAUUGGAGUCUGCAACUCGACUCCAUGAAGUCGGAAUCGCUAGUAAUCGUGGAUCAGAAUGCCACGGUGAAUACGUUCCCGGGCCUUGUACACACCGCCCGUCACACCAUGGGAGUGGGUUGCAAAAGAAGUAGGUAGCUUAACCUUCGGGAGGGCGCUUACCACUUUGUGAUUCAUGACUGGGGUGAAGUCGUAACAAGGUAACCGUAGGGGAACCUGCGGUUGGAUCACCUCCUUACCUUAAAGAA
rnacentral:rRNA from 2 species